rnacentral:rRNA from 1 species
CAAGAGCGUAUAUUAAAGUUGCUGCGGUUAAAAAGCUCGUAGUUGGAUUUCAGUCUAGGAAGGUUAACUCGCCGAAAGGUUGUACGUUGAUUUUCCUCAGACUUCGUCGGAAGCUCGUGCUGCACUUAACUGUGUGGUACGAUGUUCUGACCUUUUACCUUGAGGAAAGUAGAGUGUUUCAGGCAGGCUACCCAGCUUGAAUACAUUAGCAUGGAAUAAUGAAAUGGAUCUCGGUUCGAUUUCGUUGGUUCUAGAGCUGAGGUGAUGAUCAAUAGGAACAGGCGAAGGUAUUCGUACUUGAGAGUGAGGAGUGAAAUCCGAUGAUCUCUUAAAGACGAUCCGAGGCGAAAGCAUUUGUCAAGGAUGUUUUCAUUGA